rnacentral:lncRNA from 1 species
ACCUCUGACCCUAGUAAUUGCAACGUUAAUUGUUAGAUGUGACUCGAAAUUGAUAAUCGACUCAAGUUCGGAUUUUCGACUCGCCGACAGUUUCGUGGUGCGACCAAAUUGAAAAAUAAAAGUAUGAAGGAAAAAUAAAUGUGUGUGGUGGGUAGCGGGGGGCUCAGGCCGAAACCCGUUAUGAACUUCCUUUUUCGUUUUUGCCCUAGAGGGGUGAGAUCGUAGUUGGUUGUAAUCUUCUGAACAUUAUAUUUUUUUUUUUGUUUGAUAGUGAAGUUCUCUCCUCCCUCGCUCGUAGUUUUUUCCCUACAAAGAAUUUUUCACAUAAAUCUGUGUGUUCUUUUUUAUUUUCUGCUUGUGGUUUGAUUGUUUCACGUUCGUCAUUUUGUUUCCGUUUGUAUGUUUGUCAUAACAUUAAUCCUACACCAAAAAAAAUUUUAAAAUUUAUAUAAGUUUUUAUCUUGAUUUGACUAUUAAUUU